CACCAGUAGCCUCAGUCCUGGUGACGGUGAGUGUGAGCGGGCACGUAUACCCCUGCCGGUGUGCGUGUCAGUGCGUGUCCACUCCUGUGUCGCCCGGCUCUCCGUGUCCGACCCCCUCCACCUUAUAUGUUACGUGUCGCGCCCCUUCUCCCUCUGGCACCUCGGUGACACCAAAAUGGAGUAACUCCUCCUCCUGGACCCCCUGCCAAGUGCGGGGGAGUCCGGGGCCUAUGUCUUCACUACAAAGCUUUAGACGCUCACUGAAGAGCCGGCCUGAGCCAGGAUGGCGCAGCAACUGGAACAACUGCUCACCUGUUGCAUUUGCUUGGACCGGUUCCGCAACCCUAAACUGCUACCAUGCCAGCACUCCGUGUGUAUGGAGCCCUGUAUGGAGGGCCUCGUCGACUAUGUCCGUCGACAGGUCAAGUGCCCGGAGUGCCGCGCCGAGCACCGCAUCCCAUACAACGGGGUCCAGGGCUUCCCUUCCAACGUGACCCUACAGAGGUUCCUGGAGGCUCAUAUAGAGAUCACCGGAGAGACGCCCGACCCCCACACAGGACAGUUCAUGGAAAGAUGCAACGUGUGCAAUGAGAAGAAUUACUUGAAUGUGUGCGCCCACUGCGAGAAGAAGAUCUGUGAGGACUGCAAGGCGGCGCACACAGACAUCCUCAAGAGAGAGAUCGGUCGUAUCAACAACCAGGUCAAGCGUGCGGCCCACCGUCUCAACGACCAGCUGUCCACUGUGGAGCGAAACAUCACCUCGCUCAAGCAGAACACUCACAGCGUCUCCGAUGAAAUUGAAAUAAUCUCCAAACGUCUGCAGAAAUCUGUUAGAGAUCGCUGUGAUUUUCUUAAGGCAGAGGUGGAGAACUACUAUAACAAUGAGCUCCGGAACCUGACGACUCUUAAAGAGUCUCUCGACCAAGAGGUCUCCAAUAUUGGGGCCAACAUCGAACUGGCGGAAAAACACAUGGACGACAACACUCCAUGGGACGACGCCGAGCUCAUGGACACCAAGGACAUCUUCCUUAAGACCAUGGAUUUCAUUCGAAGUUUUGACUACGAAUCGGGCGAUUAUAGCAGAAGAGCCAGAUUUAAUCCUCCUGACGAUAUCAAUAAGCUGGCGACGAGUCUGAGCACGCUCGGGGAGCUGACCUUCAACUCGCCCAACAAACUGAGUGACGGCUACAACUCCGGCCCCUCCAUGGGCUCCGGGCUGAUGAAGAGCAAGAGCGACCACCGGCUGGCGGCUCAGUUUAGGGACCAGGAAGACGGCUACGGUCACACCUCAGGCAGGACCUCGCCACUCAUGCGCAGACGCUUUGGGGACAGGAAUAUUGAGAGGCACGACGAGGAUACCGCGGCUGACUCUGGGCGGCGGCGGUUCCGGUCAAGAUUCAUGCGCAAAGAAGAAGAUGAGGAACGUUCGGUUCGCUUCGCCGAAGAGGACGGAGCAAAACGUCAACGGGUGCUCGACACAGAAGAUGUCUCGCGCGGCCCGCUGUCCGGGAUCGUCAGACUCUACGACUCGCCCCGCGUCAUGAAACGAUUCCAGGAGCGUGAUCAGCUUAAGAAUAAAAAGAAGGAAGAGCCACCCAAGCCUGUACAACCCACGUUACCCAAGCCUCCCGUCACCCCCGUUCAGCGUAAGACAUCACGACAAACUAGCAAUGAUGAUGAGAUAGAUAAAAUUAAGAAACAAAAUAAAGCUACAGAAACAACAUCUGGAGCAACUGCCACAACCCCCACUGUGAGCACCUCCACUCCUUCCACGCCAACCACUCCAAAGCCGGCAGGUGAACGAAUCUCUUCCAUUCGAGAUGAUGAGCGGCAGAGCCGCAGUGACCGCACCUCCACCUCGCCCCGAUCCUCUACAAAUCAUUCUCCUGCGUCUUCCGUCACUCGUGAAGACGACUCCAGUCGUCGGCGCGAGUACAGUGGCUCCAAAACAGAUGCCAAUACUACAGGAGCCAAUGGUACAACAAGCCGCCCUACACCCACCCGCAAAACAAGUGUUGAUACUGGAGUGACCAGUGUAGCACAGCGCUCAUAUCCUUUCAGCCGUUCUUCAUCCAAUUCAUCUGUAGGGGAUAAGGAUAAGAACACAAGUGGUACUCGCAGCCCUCGGCCCAUCGACACCGUAGGCAUCGAGCGCCGCUUGUCUCGUUCCAACAGCACUGAAAGUAACAAAUCUGGUGAUGGAUCAUCAUCUCCAAAGAAGGCAACUGGUGCAGCCUUCUCUACCGAGGAACUCAAGAACCGUUUCGUGAAGGCAGAGCCAAAGCCAUCCACAUCUAAAGUAGAAAGUUCAAGAUCGUCUGCUCCAAAUAGUUCUCGCUUUCAGUCACGUUUUUUAGGCCGAGCCGGUACUCCUUCAGCAGAGGCCUCGAAGGAAUCAGGGAAUGAAGAUGAAGAUGAAGAAACCAGUGAUGAUUCCGAGUCCGAAGAGAGUGAAGAGUCGUCUGAAGAGGAAGAGGAGGAGGAGGAGAAGGAAGAGCCUACGUCAGAAGUCUCUCGUCCGGACAUUGGGCCCUUACUUGGGAGGAGUGCCCAGGCUCGCGAUGUGACCGCUAAUACUAGUUCUAGGAGCACUUGGGGUGAAAGAAGUUCGUACCCACCUGCAAGUUCCAGUGGAAAUGAUUCGGGUUAUGCAAGUAGAUAUGGCAGUAGCGGUGAAAAUGGCAAUGGCAACAGUACCACUACCACCACCCCCAGCAGGUAUGGAACCUCUGCCUCCAACACCAGCACCACUGACUCCGGAGCAACCACUCACAGACGUCCAUCGUAUCUGGACACUGCAAAACCUCCAGUCAAGGAAAAAGAUGAUGAUUUUGAGUCCAAAUAUCCCUAUUCGAGUAAGUACCUGAACCGUUCUCGGGCCGCUGUUCCUGAGGAGGAAACCAAACCCACUUUCCAAAGCCGAUUUCUUAAUCGAUCAAAAAGUUCGGCUGUUCUAGGCCCUGAUGAAAAUGAUGAAUCAACUCCCGCUACCACACACGGCACUGGCCGUGCUCGCUUUGAAGAGCUUAAGGAGAGAAGACAGAGGCUGGCACGAAGCAAAAGCUCUGCGGGACUGGAAGAUGAGGAAGGAACUACAGCAGACACCAACUCUGCCGCUAAUUAUCGACCUCGUUACAACCGCUUGGAACCUGAAACUUCUACCCCAACACGCAGCACAACUACAGGAGUAGCAUCAUCAGUAGGUAGUAGUAGUGCUAGUGGUACGGGAGGUGAAGAAGGGGGGUCAUCGUCCACCCAGCUCUCUAAUUGGGCCCGUUAUCUCAAGAACAAAUAUGGAAACAGAAGCGGCGCAGCAGGAACAGAUAGCACGGGUAGAAGCACUAGCACAGGUCUCAGCAGCAGCACUAGCAGUAGUGCUGGUAGCGGCAUGGGUAGCAGUGCUAGUGGUGCUAGCAGUCUAUUAAGUAGUUCCCGUCCAGGUACAGGUAGCACAGUAGGAGGCAGAGCCAUAUCUCGCUCUCGGUCCUCACAUCUUCUUGGUCUUGCCAAAGAGGGAGAAUCAUCUGAAGACGAUUCAAAAAACGUGCACGCUACCCCUACUUUCCCACAAGCAGGUACACUGGUUCCUACUCCGUUCGGAAGUUUACAUAGGAGCCAAUACCUGCAAAAACAACGCCUCUUAAUUAAGAUCGGGAGUAGGGGUAGUGAAACUGGAAACUUUACAUGGCCAAGAGGCAUAGCUGUUGGACCCGACAACAGUAUUGUGGUUGCAGACUCGAGCAACCACCGCGUGCAAGUAUUUGACCAACAAGGUAAGUUUAUAAAAGAAUUCGGUUCUUACGGGAGUGCAGAAGGCGAAUUUGAUUGUUUGGCGGGCGUGGCUGUCAACAGAAUCGGCCAGUACAUCAUUGCCGACCGCUACAACCAUAGGAUUCAAGUAUUUGAUCCUUCUGGCAUGUUUCUCCGGUCCUUUGGAAGUCAAGGUGGAGGAGAUGGGCGGUUCUCGUAUCCAUGGGGAGUGACCACUGAUGCCCUUGGUUUCAUCUACGUCUGUGACAAGGAGAACCACCGAGUUCAGGUCUUCCAGUCCGACGGAUCCUUUGUAGGCAAGUUCGGGUCGAUGGGCAACAAGCCAGGACAACUGGAACACCCGCAUUACAUCGCAGUUUCCUCCACCAACAGAGUCAUCGUCUCUGAUUCUAACAACCACCGCAUACAGAUAUUUGACAUUAAUGGCAAAGUUACUACAACAUUUGGGUCCGAGGGAAGCGACGAGGGACAGUUCAAGUUCCCAAGGGGUGUGGCUGUGGACGACCAAGGUUACAUCUUCGUGGCUGACAGCGGUAACAACCGCAUUCAAAUCUUCCACCCUGAUGGCUCCUUCUUGAGGGCCUUCGGUUGCUGGGGAUCUGGAGAGGGAGAAUUCAAAGGCCUUGAAGGUGUGGCGGUGAUGUCCAACGGCAACAUCCUUGUCUGCGACCGUGAAAACCACCGUGUCCAGGUCUUCUGAGAAGGAUUGGUAUGGAUGCAUAAUGCAUAAUAGAUCAACUAAACUGACAAGAUCAUUACAAAUUUGGAUGGGAGGUAACAGAGAACGGAGCUCGACGCCAACUAGAGGAAAAUGCAGUAGCUUGCCAGCAGCCCACAGACUGUCUAGAAUGCAGACAAGCUUUUCUUUUCCCGACCAAUUGGACAUGAAAAAAUGUCGUAUGCUCAACUGUAAAAAUAUUGUAACUGACGAGCAGAAAUAGUAUUUAUUAAAAAAUAUAUAUUUUGUAUUUAUGAACUUACUUGGUGGUUAUUUCUUGACACAAUAUCGGGUUAGGCGAAUUUUCCUUGUCAAUUCGCCGACAACCUCAAGGGAGAUUAAAUUUUAGACCCAGGUUAUUGUUAGAUAUCAUAUCGAGGGUGCACGAUGGUAGGCAGUCUAGGGAAAGGUGAACUCUGUCCAAGUUUGGGUAUCCAUUGCAUUUCAUUCCAAAAAUGCCGUAAUAUAUCGUAACGCCCAGCUUACUAUGAAAACUAAUGUUGUAGAAGUUCCAUUAUAUGAUGCGACUCCACCUUGCCCUAGACAUGUAGCCUAUUCUAUUUGUGAUUGCUAGGUUACAGUGCGUAUGAGGGUGAUAUCGUGUACAUUAGAAUGUAUUAUAACACAUUUGUACAUUGUACAUAAGUGCCUUUUUUAUGGAUAUAUGGAAGCAUCAGUGCUAAAUUAUAAAUUGUCUAAAAGCUCAUGAUAGCAUGAUACAAAAUUGAAUGUAUGAGAGCUUGUAACAUUUUUUUUCUUUGUGGACUGUAGAGAAUCCAACAAUAUAUGGGAAUACUCAGCCAUGAUGACUGGUCACAUGGAAUUGUAAGAGUCUUAACCUCUCCUUUUUUUUCUCUACAGAGCAGAUGUCAUUUUUCAGUCAUUUGAUACAUAAUGGAUCCUCCUGUAACGUAAUUCUAGUAGAUUAACGUGUAAUUAUCAUUAGAUGCAUGCACAGAAGUUUGCUUUUAGUUGGGUACAAUGGUGCAGAUAUGCAUUAACAUAAAUACUUUAACAUGCAUAGCCAUGAGCAUUAUACCAUGUUUCUUGUAACGAUUUUCUUGAAGUGUAUUUAAGAAAUGGCAGUGAAAUGGCUACACAUUAUGUAUCUUUUGGAAGAAACUGAUUAAUUAAAAUAAUCAAAUAUAUGUAUACAGUACAGUAUCUCUAAAUAAUAUAUAUCAGUGUUGGAUACAUAUCGUUGUUUGUAGUUUUAAUAAGCAUUUUUCUUAUCUAUGUGUUGAGUAGUUAGGUCAUAUUCUCACAAAUGUUAAAGAAACGAAGAUCUGUGACAUUUGAUUUUCUUGAAAGAAAUUUAUAUAUAAAUAAUGUUUAAAUAAUUAAAAUUCCAUCUUAUGGCUUGUUUUCUCAACAAUAUUGUAAGUCACUUGAAAAUACGUUUACCGUUAAAAGGUACACUUGUUUUAAAGAUAAUUUUCCUAUCAGAACUUGAACAAAAUAAAUGGAAAUAUAUUAGUGUCACCAAUGACUGUUAACCAGUUUUGAGUGUAUAUUCAGAAAUUGGCUUUUUAACUGUCAGUCAGUCAAGCAUUUUCUAUUGCCUUUUUUUUUUCUAUUUUUUUUUCUUGAAUGAAAGACUGUCGGUAUCUCUGAUCACUUUCCUAGAAGCUGAAAAUAAAAUGUUCAGUUGAAAA
rnacentral:misc_RNA from 1 species